UACGAAGGGGGCGAGCGUUGUUCGGAUUUACUGGGCGUAAAGCGCGUGUAGGCGGCUUGGCAAGUUGAAUGUGAAAGCCCACGGCUCAACCGUGGAAGCGCAUCCAAAACUGCUUCGCUGGAGUCUCGGAGAGGAAGGUGGAAUGCUUGGUGUAGAGGUGAAAUUCGUAGAUAUCAAGCAGAACACCUGCGGCGAAGGCGGCCUUCUGGACGAUGACUGACGCUGAGACGCGAAAGCGUGGGGAGCAAACAGG
rnacentral:rRNA from 1 species